UACGUAGGGUGCGAGCGUUGUCCGGAAUUAUUGGGCGUAAAGAGCUUGUAGGUGGUUUGUCGCGUCGACUGUGAAAUCCCGAGGCUCAACUUCGGGCUUGCAGUCGAUACGGGCAGGCUAGAGUUCGGUAGGGGAGACUGGAAUUCCUGGUGUAGCCGGUGAAAUGCGCAGAUAUCAGGAGGAACACCGAUGGCGAAGGCAGGUCUCUGGGCCGAUACUGACGCUGAGGAGCGAAAGCGUGGGAGCGAACAGG
rnacentral:rRNA from 1 species